GAUGAAGAACGCAGCGAAAUGCGAUAAGUAAUGUGAAUUGCAGAAUUCAGUGAAUCAUCGAAUCUUUGAACGCACAUUGCGCCCCCUGGUAUUCCGGGGGGCAUGCCUGUCCGAGCGUCAUUACACCCCUCAAGCUCAGCUUGGUGUUGGGCCCCGCCGCCCCGGCGGGCCCUAAAGUCAGUGGCGGUGCCGUCCGGCUCCGAGCGUAGUAAUUCUUCUCGCUCUGGAGGCCCGGUCGUGUGCUCGCCAGCAACCCCCAAUUUUUUUCAGGUUGACCUCGGAUCAGGUAGGGAUACCCGCUGAACUUAAGCAUAUCAAUAAGCGGAGGA
rnacentral:misc_RNA from 1 species